rnacentral:rRNA from 1 species
GACGGAGGGGGCAAGCGUUGUCCGGAAUUAUUGGGCGUAAAGAGCUCGUAGGCGGUUUGUCGCGUCGGCCGUGAAAACUUGGGGCUUAACCCCGAGCCUGCGGUCGAUACGGGCAGACUUGAGUUCGGCAGGGGAGACUGGAAUUCCUGGUGUAGCGGUGAAAUGCGCAGAUAUCAGGAGGAACACCGGUGGCGAAGGCGGGUCUCUGGGCCGAUACUGACGCUGAGGAGCGAAAGCGUGGGGAGCGAACAGG